rnacentral:lncRNA from 1 species
CUCCCACACAGCUACUCGUUCCUCUGGUUUGUCCAGUGCAUCUUAAAGCUCAUAAGCUCUGUAAAACAUCAUGUACCGGAUGUGUAGAGCAGACCCUGACCUAGUAAGCUCCCUUGUCAUUGCUGCAGUACAAACAUUAUUAAUAAUAGCAAAACAAAACAAAUCAAAAACACAAAUUUUACAUUCAUCUUUAUUAACGUUCAUUGCCAAAGAUUUCUAACAGUCAUGAGUUACAGAAAAAAAUCUUCCAUCUAAUUUCAGUGUUCACAGAUGAGUAACUGCUAGAGAGUAAUAAUAUCCAUUACUAAAUGAGGAUGAGGAAGAGGAAAGUUAUUACUGAGUUAAAAUGAGUAACAAUGAACUCCAUUUUUAAAUAAAGCACUAACUACACAGAUGAUCACUGGUUUUUCCUGGACUUGUACCAUGACAGAAGUUCUUGGGCCUACAUCUUGAGGCAGAUCCCUCACAGUCAUCAGUCAUAUCUUCCACACUGAUUAAGUGGCUGCUGAAAGCUUUUUUGAACUAACUGAAUCCCAGGAGGUCUCCCAGAGAAGACCUCAUCUGAAAGAAGACCUCACUUACACCUUUCCUCCUCUGUGGAUAUGAAAAUACUGGAACAGAAGGAGAAAAGUGGAGGUAUCAGGCUGCGGAAGGUAUUGGUUCCCCUUCCUGCAGCUUAUUUGCCACUACAAGCUGCAGUGAAAAGCCUCCAGCUGCCCCAAAAGCCUCUGGCCCUCUUCCAGGCAGGUCCUGCAGAACCAUUCAGCAGAUUCACCAGGAGCAGCUAAAACUCAAUCAAAAACAUCCAGCCAUGCCAAUUACAUUGGCAGUGAAGGCAAGUUCUCUGAGCCAUCAGCCAUAAUAUCACAGUGGAUUAGAAAUCUCCAGCAAAUGGUGCGUUGUGACAGAUCAAUUCUCUGCCUUUGAGUAGGUGCUUGAUGCAUGCUUUCUGCCCU